GCGGCUAUGGCGGAAUUGGCAGACGCGCCAGACUUAGGAUCUGGUGUCACAGACGUGGGGGUUCGAGUCCCUUUAGCCGCA
rnacentral:tRNA from 1 species